rnacentral:rRNA from 1 species
GAUGAACGCUAGCUACAGGCUUAACACAUGCAAGUCGAGGGCAGCAUGGUCUUAGCUUGCUAAGGCCGAUGGCGACCGGCGCACGGGUGAGUAACACGUAUCCAACCUGCCCUUUACUCGGGGAUAGCCUUUCGAAAGAAAGAUUAAUACCCGAUAGUAUAAUGAAACCGCAUGGUCUUAUUAUUAAAGAAUUCGGUUAUCGAUGGGGAUGCGUCCCAUUAGGUUGUUGGUGAGGUAACGGCUCACCAAGCCUUCGAUGGAUAGGGGUUCUGAGAGGAAGGUCCCCCACAUUGGAACUGAGACACGGUCCAA